ensembl:lncRNA
CUGCCUUAGCCUUCUUCCUUCUUCUCUUCUCUUUUUGGCACACAAGAACCUCAAUGUCACUCCCCUUUUGGACUGGAGCUCUGGUGACAGGAACUAUCGGGGUGGGUCUACAUGACCUGCUCACACAUUUCUGAACAUUUGAGUGGGUGGCUCCCUCUGCCUGCUGGCCUUUCCCAGCUAGCUCUGUCCCCCAGGAAGAGUCCUCCUACUCCUUCAGGAGUCUGUGUGUGGACAUCUGCUUUGAACCUACAGUAGCAUCAAAAUGACUGCACUUAUGGUUUGGAUCUGCUGCCCAAUGGCUCAUUAUGUUGGAGGCUUGGUCCCCAGUGCAGCAGUGUUCAGAGGUGGGUAUUGGGGGUGUGGUCGGAUCAUGAGGCUCUGAUCUUGUGAAUAGAUUAAUCCAUUUGUAGGUGCCUAAUUAAGUGGACUAUUGGGAGAUGAUGGAAACUGUGGGACGUGGGGCCUGGUUGGAGGAAAUAGAUCACUGAAGGGCAUAUCUUAUCUCCAGCCUCUUCCUCUCUCCUUCUUUGCUUCCUGUUUGCCAUGAGGUGAGCAGCCUCCCCUGCCAGAUGCUCCUGCUGCCACCGUGUUCAGCCUUGCCACAAGCCUAAGACAGUGGAGCCAGCUAACUAUGCUCAAAACCUCUGAAACUGAGCCAAAAGAAAUCUUUCUUUAAAUUUGUUUACCUCAGGUAUUUUGUCACAGAGAUGGAAAGUGGACUAACAAAACCAGUAAUAAUACAUGUUUAAACAUUAACAGGACAUAUUUGUUCCUCUAGGAUCCAAAUGUUUGGGAACCAAACCAGGAUGUAAAUGGUCUCUCAGUGAUUCUGUGAUAACCUCUAUGAAGUCUACUGAAAAUUAAAGGUGAUCUUGAGGCAAACAUAGCAGCUUUAGCAGCUUGAGCAAGUUAAAGAAAUAAAACCAAACACAGUCAAAAGCAAAAACACAAAAACCCAUCCAGGUCAUGCAGCAUGUACAAUAAACUUAGCUUCUGCAUUGCUUCCUGAUGCCUGAGACGCCUGUCCAUACGGGGUACUCAACAAGCACUGAUUGCUGGGAAGUCUCAUCUGGUGCCUAAGAGAACGUGUGUGAUGGCUUUGCCUCGUCACACGUCCCAUCCCAUUUCACAUUCCUCUGGCAGACAUGGAUCAAAGACCCUCUGUGUGCUAGGCACCAGACAGCUCUGCAAACUGCCCUUGACCCCCACUUUGGAGUAAGAGUGGGAGGUCUGCAGAGGGCAGGUGUCUUGUGUUUGACCACAUUUUGAGUAGAUAGACUUUCAACCAGGUAUUCAGUUCAUCAGACAUUCACUGUCUGACAGUUACCUGGGAGCAAAGUGAGUUCCAUGUGGUCCUUGUUCUCGAGAUAUUGCAUUCUGUGCACAGAUUGGCUUUUGGAUGUUUUAUUCAGGGAAAGAAACAAAGUUCAGAACAGCACGGAUGCUUCUAUUUGUAUAAUAAAAGGGUACAUGAUACACAUGGGAGCAAGCACACAUGCACGCACAUACACACAUGUGCACACACAUAUCCAUACACACAGCUGCUGGUAAACACCUAGACUAUCUGAUGACUCUGGUUACUUUGAGGAAGAAGAGCUAGUUUUGGUUUGUUUUUUAAAGAACUUACACUCUUUGUAAUUGUCCUAUGUAUUUAUUAAUGAACUUAUUGUCUGUUUCUCUGUCUGACACACACGUGUUUGCACACAGCUGUAGCUCCAGUACUUACAAUAGUUCUCAGUAUAUAGCCCUGUGCUGUACAAUGUUUUAGCCAAUGGUGGACUGUGUACAGGAGCGGAAAAACUCCUGUUGUCUAGUGAUGUCAUACCUAUCCUAAUAUCGUAGACAACACUUUGCUCAUGUGUAUGUGGAGAUGCUGGUACAAACAGACCCACUGCAUUGUCAGUCAUUUUGGAAUACUGCACAUACGAUUAUGUACAGUACAGAGUCCUUGAUAGUAAUGAUAAAUGACUAUGUAACUGACUUAUGUAUGUGCUAUACUCUUAAUCAUUAUUUUAGGGUGUACUCAUUUUACUUAUUAAAAAUUCAAGUUGACUGCAAAACCUGAUCUCUGUCCCCAGGGAACUCAGAGCUUAAUGGGAGGAGGAGGACGACGAUGAGUAAGUGCUGCGGCUGCAGCAGCCUCAUUGAGCUGUGUUCACUGUGUAUCUUGAUUACAUGGAGAAGGCUCGUGGCAUGACUGACUUAGCCCAUCUAGUUUGAAGGACAUGCACUGUGUGAGAUUUACACAACAUGGAUUGCCCAACUGCACAUUUUCAGUGUGUCUCCCUGCCGUGAAGCAACCAGUGACUGUAUUUUAGGACCACUGUCAUGUACACUAUGUGCUCCAUUGUUGACUGAAUCAUUGCUACGUGGUCCAUGACUGUAGUCACUUGGUUUAGAGGAAGACAUCCCCUCAUCCCUUCAAAGGUGUAGCCAUGCAGAACACUUUUGGAACAUCUACUUCCAGGACAGCUCCUCAGUCAUGUAACAACACUGGUCCUCUUUCUAAAGAUGAGAGUUAUAUCUUAUUAUACCAAGAUGAUGCCAGUAACUCCACUGUCUUCAUAAUUACUAAAGAGUUACUGUGCUGAAAGUACAACUGUGAUGCAAAAAGUUCACCAUCCUGGUUUGUGAGAGCCUGUGGGCAGGAGGCAAGCUAGUCUUCCACAAGAGAGACAAUUAAGAGACAAUGGUACAGAAAUGCAUGUUGUAGCACACGCCAGUGCUCCCGUGUAUUGACCUUGCAGCUUCAAGCAACUUAGAGAAUGGCUUGGUUUUCAAAAUUACAAUUCCUCCCAGGUUCUGGAGGCAGGCACAGAGAAGAUUCUUCAGAUUUGAGACUACUUCAGUGAGAUAAAAUACCUAGUUUGGGAAAUGCUGCCCUUUCCUUGGAGACCUGCUGGGAUAUUGGAAUUUCAUGUGCAUCAAAAAUGCAGGGCACACAGAAACAUCUGAAAAGCUGCCAGAGGGAAGCAGUUUAUAUUUCUGUGCAAAGCAUCGCAAUAUCAGGAAGGCAGAGAGUGAAUAUGAGAGGAAGGAAACGGGCAGUUGGUCCCCUGACCGGGGCACUGCAGGUCAGAUAGGUGAUAGGCUGAGCUGGCUGUGGCGGCGUAGCCUUCUUGUGGGUUCUCAGUCACCUAUAACCUUUUAAUCAAAAGGUAAAGAAGAGGAAGAAUGUGGAUUUCACAAUAUUUGAAGCAUCCUGCUAUUGAAAGUAGAGAAGAGGGCACUUUCAGAGGCUUACUACAGGGUAGCAACUGUGGAAAUUUGCUUGGUCAUAAAAAGUAGGAUGAGAUACAGUGAAAAGUAUUUAAAGAGAUCCAAAACUCAAUGAACCCAAUAAUCUUCUGUUAAAAAUAAGCUGAGAGUAAACUUUUUGGGGCGAGAAUAUCAUAAACACUUAAGCACUGAUUGUGUGCAGUCUGAAUGUCCGCAUGUGUGUGUCUAAGCAGUAACAAAAUCCAUCUCUGCUUGUGCAGAUUAUUUUGAGAUCAGUUAAGUGGAAAUAACUAAUGUUCAUGUAUGUAGAAGUUCCCCAUGUGAGUUUCCUUCUCAAAAUAUUGAUUUCCUUUUAUUCCACUGGAAAGGGAGACCUGUGAGGAAUAGAAAGAGGAGGCACUAUCUCUUUAUGAAUACUAAUAAGUAAAUCAAGGGAGACACUGGCACUUCGAGUUUCAUCUUUCCAUUUCCUAGAGGCGCAAACUCUGCAACUUGUCACCUUGGUGUAUUCAGUGCCUUUUGAAGCACUAUACUCCUCCAGAGAGAAUGUCAGCCCCAGCCCUGGGCAGUUUUGACAAACAGAGUAUAUAUUGAUACAUGAUAAAGUAUGCUAGAAAUCACCCCAGCGCUAAAGGCUACUAUAGUUUUAAUAUCAUCAUUUGAAUUAACAAGCAUUCUGUGGAGAAAUAAUGAGCUUUCAUUAUUCAGAACAUCAUCCUUACCCGGGGAACUCAGAAACCAUUAGCUCUUGAGAACUUAAUGAAAAGAUGAUAAAGAAUGUUUUAGAUAAAAGUUUGAACGGGCACACUUGAUAACUGAGGUAAAAUAUUAAUGUUUGUUUGGAUGAUGGAUUAGGGUUGCUCAGCGAGGCUUAGGGAAGUGACAGAAGCCAAGUGUGUGGUCAGGUUGCAGGUGGAGGGUCUGGACCGCCCCAGGGACAGUGUGAGAUGCCAGCUUGGGGAGCUGUGGUCCUGGGAAGACUACUAUGCUUACAGCCUGGCUGCCUCUCCUAUAGCCUGAAGACAGGAGGGAAAGGAGGCAGAUGGGAAGGGAAGGAAUUUAGAAGGGUAAAGUGUGAUCGACAGGUAUGGAUGUACAAAGGGUGAUCAAAUAUAUGGUGAGUGUUUAAAUUUAAAAUGUUUAUUAUAGUAAAAGACACAUUGCUAUUCAUUCACCUCAUAAUACUCUCCCCAACUUUGAGCACACUUAUCUCAUCCUUCUUGCCACUUUCUGAAGCAGUUCUGGAAGUCACCUUUCCUAUCUUAUUACCUUUCUCAUUGCUUGGAUAAACUAUGCAACAGCCCCAAGUUAAAGCAGGAGAGGUUUAUUGUGGCUCACAGUUUGUAGAGGUUUCACUACAUCGCCGGUUGGCUCCAAGGGACUGUGGCAUAGCAGAGGAGAAAAAAUUCAUGGCCUGGCAGGCAGUAAGCAGAGAGGGAUCAAGGGAGGAGGACAGAAAUGUACCUUUCCAGGCCACGCCCACUGUGACCCACUUCUUCCACCAGGCUUCACCUCCCAACAUCACAGCCAGGUGUAAACUCAUCAGUAAAUUAAUCCAGUAUCACACACCACGAUCCAGUCAUCUCCCAAAACCCCCAACUAUGAGUGCAUGAGGCUUUGGCCGGGGGGAAUCUAAAUAUAAACCAUGCCAAGGAUCUUUAGGAAGUGUGAUCACAAAUACAGUGAAUGCUGGGCCAAGUGUCAUCCAGGAGAAAAGUAGGCAUGUAAAAACAUUACGGUGUGUUCUCAUCCACCUUAUUUACUAGAUCUGGCACCAUGUGACUUCUGGCUCUUCUCUAAAGUCAAAAUGGUCAUGAAAGGUAAACAUUUUGAAUUGAUUCAGGACAUUGAGACAGUCAGAACAGCACAAAUAAUGACACAAAAGCAUUUCCAGAACUGCUUCAUAAAGUGGCAAGAACGAUGGGAUAGUGUGUUUGAAAUGAUGGGGAAUAUUUUGAAGGAGGUUAAUGGGACGUAUCUUUUACUGUAAUAAAUUUUUAAAAAUUUAAACAUUCAUCCAAUGUUUCAAUUAUACUUUGUAUAUGUUCAGAGAGGACAUCUCAGAUUACUGUUUUAAAGUCUUUAAUGUAUAAAAUAAAAACAAAACAAUUACAAGGUAAAUAUUUUGUUUUUCUUUUCAUAACCUCACUAACAGAUUAGGACAUUUUGAGAUACCUUUCUGGCUUUAAAAUUUUACAUUAUAAAGGUACUUUGGGAAGGGAAAGAAGCAUGACAGAAGCAGUAAAAGAGAUAGCAUCUUUAAGGCUCGCAUACUAACAUGAACCAUCUGUAAGCGAUAGAUGGAACUUGACCACACGUGGACAUGAAGUAAGUCAUGCGCAUCAAAGAACAUGAGGAAAACACAAAAAGUAGAAGACAGUGAAACAUUCCCAUUCCCACCUUACAGAGACAGUCUCUUGUACCACUUUGUUGUAUCGUAAUUUCCUUUGGCUCUUCUGUAAUAUGUCUACUACCUGCAAGGCAGUGAUUGCAUAUACAGAAUUAUAUAUACUAUAACUUUUAGAUCACUUUUCUGAGUAUAAAACUGAUGCAUAGUAAUUGCUUAAAAUUAGAAGAUUCUGGGGCCGGGGAUUUAGCUCGGUGGUUCCGGCACCUGCCUUGCAAGCACAAGGACCUGAGUUUGAUCCCCGGUACAAAAAAAAAAAAAUUAGAAAAUUCUGGGUAUGAAUUCUGGUGUUCAAGAGAAUUACCCUGCAGAG